AAGAAGCUGGUUUCACAUGGUGGUUUAGAUGUGUGCUGCUCUUGUCUAGCACCAUUUGAAAUCAGUGUUCU
rfam:Oreochromis niloticus linkage group LG17, whole genome shotgun sequence.